UACACAGAUCUGAGGUUUCAAGGGUUGCUUU
rnacentral:piRNA from 1 species